UACCGUUAGGCUAAGCGACCACGCAACUCAAGUUGUCAGUGACAGUUCCACACGUUUCGUCAAACUUUCACCUCUUAGGACCAUAUUCUGAGACCAGUUGAAGCACCAUGGUUGAAAGUGCGGGAACAGCUAGUCGUAAUGCUUCUGUCAUGAGUCAGCUGGAAGAUACGUCCAGGGAGUUGAAAGAGUGUUAUGAAAGGUUGGAUUUCAUCGAGACGAAACUCAGACGACGUUACUACCAAAUGAUGAAAAGAAACGUUUAGAGCAGGAAGUGAAGGACAUAAAGACACACCUCUCAAGACAUGAGAAAGACCUGCGUUGCCUAAGGGGAGAGAACCGUGUUGCAAUGAUCCUCUCCGUUUUAAUACUGGCUUUGGGUGUUAUGAUAUAUAUGGUUUACACCAUGCUAUUUACAAGCUGAAAGUUGCUAAUAGGAUUUAAGAACUUGAUGGGUUUGAGGGUUUUUUUGUUUUUUUUGCAUUAUCGGUAUUUUGUUGCUUGGUGUCUUAGUUACAUGUGGGUGUGAUUCUGCUUGUUGGGAGUCCCUCUUCUGUUCCAA